UUGUUUGGAGAGUUUGAUUCUGGCUCAGGACGAACGCUGGCGGCGUGCUUAACACAUGCAAGUCGAACGGAAAGGCCCUUCGGGGUACUCGAGUGGCGAACGGGUGAGUAACACGUGGGUGAUCUGCCCUGCACUUUGGGAUAAGCCUGGGAAACUGGGUCUAAUACCGAAUAGGACUCCGCGCUUCAUGGCGUGGGGUGGAAAGCUUUUGCGGUGUGGGAUGGGCCCGCGGCCUAUCAGCUUGUUGGUGGGGUAAUGGCCUACCAAGGCGACGACGGGUAGCCGGCCUGAGAGGGUGUCCGGCCACACUGGGACUGAGAUACGGCCCAGACUCCUACGGGAGGCAGCAGUGGGGAAUAUUGCACAAUGGGCGCAAGCCUGAUGCAGCGACGCCGCGUGAGGGAUGACGGCCUUCGGGUUGUAAACCUCUUUCAGUAGGGACGAAGCGCAAGUGACGGUACCUAUAGAAGAAGGACCGGCCAACUACGUGCCAGCAGCCGCGGUAAUACGUAGGGUCCGAGCGUUGUCCGGAAUUACUGGGCGUAAAGAGCUCGUAGGUGGUUUGUCGCGUUGUUCGUGAAAACUCACAGCUUAACUGUGGGCGUGCGGGCGAUACGGGCAGACUUGAGUACUGCAGGGGAGACUGGAAUUCCUGGUGUAGCGGUGGAAUGCGCAGAUAUCAGGAGGAACACCGGUGGCGAAGGCGGGUCUCUGGGCAGUAACUGACGCUGAGGAGCGAAAGCGUGGGGAGCGAACAGGAUUAGAUACCCUGGUAGUCCACGCCGUAAACGGUGGGUACUAGGUGUGGGUUUCCUUCCUUGGGAUCCGUGCCGUAGCUAACGCAUUAAGUACCCCGCCUGGGGAGUACGGCCGCAAGGCUAAAACUCAAAGAAAUUGACGGGGGCCCGCACAAGCGGCGGAGCAUGUGGAUUAAUUCGAUGCAACGCGAAGAACCUUACCUGGGUUUGACAUGCACAGGACGCCGGCAGAGAUGUCGGUUCCCUUGUGGCCUGUGUGCAGGUGGUGCAUGGCUGUCGUCAGCUCGUGUCGUGAGAUGUUGGGUUAAGUCCCGCAACGAGCGCAACCCUUGUCUCAUGUUGCCAGCACGUAAUGGUGGGGACUCGUGAGAGACUGCCGGGGUCAACUCGGAGGAAGGUGGGGAUGACGUCAAGUCAUCAUGCCCCUUAUGUCCAGGGCUUCACACAUGCUACAAUGGCCGGUACAAAGGGCUGCGAUGCCGUGAGGUGGAGCGAAUCCUUUCAAAGCCGGUCUCAGUUCGGAUCGGGGUCUGCAACUCGACCCCGUGAAGUCGGAGUCGCUAGUAAUCGCAGAUCAGCAACGCUGCGGUGAAUACGUUCCCGGGCCUUGUACACACCGCCCGUCACGUCAUGAAAGUCGGUAACACCCGAAGCCGGUGGCCUAACCCCUUGUGGGAGGGAGCCGUCGAAGGUGGGAUCGGCGAUUGGGACGAAGUCGUAACAAGGUAGCCGUACCGGAAGGUGCGGCUGGAUCACCUCCUUUCUAA
rnacentral:rRNA from 1 species